rnacentral:misc_RNA from 1 species
UGGUGCUAAGGUGGUGCUGUUAGUGGUGGUGUUGAGGAUAGUAGUGAUGGAGAUUGUAGUCGUGGUGAUGAUGGUAGUGGUAAUGCUGAUGAUGAAGGAAGUGGUGAUGAUGAAGGUAGUAGAGGUGGUGGUGACGACGACGAAGAAAAUGGUGGUAACGAUGGAAGUGGUGAUGAUAGUAAAGGCGGCGUCACACUGGCAUUCUUUCGUCAACUUUUUUCGUCAACUUUCAGGAAAUCGUUAAACUUUGUUGUGCACCGUCACACAAGCGUUUAGAACCAACUCGCCAGUUUCCCUCGACAACUGCCAACAAAGAAGAUGGAUCCAACUGACGAAGAAAACGCAGCAAUUCUACGCCUUCUUUUGUGUGUAUGAAGAGUCCUGGUGAUCCCAGAGUCAGCGGCGUUGCCUUAUCUGGUCCACCAAGAACUCCUCAGAGAGGCGUGUCCAUACUUGGGAAAUUAUGUUAUCUGUUGGCUCCGACAUGUUGUUGUUAUUCUCGCAUGGUCAAAAUGUAAACAACAAUUGACAUUUUCUUGCAAUUUUAAAAUUACGAAAUUAAACUUAAUGGAUAAUCAAGGGAAGAAGAGUAAUAAUUAAUAUAUAACAAUUUUAUCUUUAUAUUUUAAGUAGAAAUUAGUUUAUUUUUAUAACUAUUUGUAGUAUCAAUUAUAGAUCUUGAGUUGACUCUGGUAAGUUGUCAAAGUUGACGGAAGACUUGCCAGUGAAGCCAAACACCGACGAUUCUAAGUUGACAGUAAUGAAAAAGUUGACAGUAAAAAUGCUAGUGUGACGCCGCCUUAAGGGAUAUAUCUGUAUAGGAAGAAUUGGCAUAACUAAAUAAUAAAGGUCGAUUCCCUGGCUGGUAACACUACUUAUAUGACCAUUAUUUAUGAGUAUAUAUACAAAAUACUAAUAUAUCACAUUUUAUCACAACUAAUAUAUUAUUACUAGCCUAUAGAAUGAAUCACCCUGUACUGUAGUUUACGUUUUAUGAGAAUUAAUAUAAUACCUUGUUAAUAAUCUAACUCGGGUCUAAAUCUACGUAAUUAUUUCAUUCAUUUAUUUAUUUGCAUUUUUAAGGUUUCUAGAAAUGAAGUUUGUAUUAUAGAGCAACAGGCGGUGUAUAAAUUUGAGAACACUAGGUAAAUUAAUAUGUAUUGAUGUACAAGGGGGAAAAGCUACAAAAAGUUCCUUAUGAAGAUAUUUGAGAACCUACGAGGCGCCAUACUUGGAGAUGCCGCCAAACAGGAACGUCACCCAAUCAGGACUCCAAUAAGACCUAGGGAACUUCAAUCAUCAGUCACUGCCGCCGGAGAUAACCAAUUACAGAACGGGAAUGACAUAGAACUAACGACCAAUUACAACACUAUGCAAGAGGUGCCGAGACCGACGGCAGCAGUACAGGACGCUGAAGGAGGCUAUGUGGGCCCUGCCGCCGAGUCCCGGGAGGCAAGAGGAAGACCACCGUCCCUGUCCAAGUACACCACCAGGGGUCCACAGGACGGCUGGUGGUGGCAGCGUGGUGGCGUUAGUUGUACAACAGGAGAGCAGACAUUGGUGUUCCUGAGCGGCUGUCUGCUGGUACUGUUGCUGUUUCUGCUGGUGACUGUCUUCUUCGUGUCCUCAGGUGUGUGGAGGAGGAGGAUCAGCACCUGUACCAGCCGUGAGUGUGUCAAGACAGCGGGGGAGGUCCUCAGGUCACUUAACGAAGAGGUGUCACCGUGUGAGAACUUUGUGGACUUCGUGUGUGGAGGCUGGCUGCGUCAACACCCUAUACCCGAGGGUAAACACCGUUGGGGAGUGUUUGAUGUCCUCGACCAACAAACACUCGUGGACCUCAGAGGGCAGCUGGAGAAAGAGCCCCUCGUCCACGACCCCGUCACCAUCAGGACGGCCAAGACGGUGUACCAGGCGUGUGUCAAUGACACACAAUGGGACACGGUAGGUCUGAGGCCCCUGCUAGACCUGGUAGUGAAGGAGGGAGGCCUGCCUAUGGUGGACCCUUCAUGGACAGGUGACCACUACCAGGUGAUGACCAGUCUGGCCAGACUGAGAAACACCCUGGCAGGAGAAUACCUCAUCAGUCUCAUCGUCAAGCCUGACAGUCGCAACACCUCCAAACCUGUUAUAUACAUAGGAGAGGGGAUGCUUCCGGUCCAGCGAGUCUUCCUCACCCCUCAGGUCUCCACCAGUCACAAGGAAGCACAGAUCACCUACAUGAGGGAGACUGGAAAGGAACUACUGAAGGAGCUGCGGCAGGAGAGAAACAACACCUUCAUCUACACGCUGUACAGGGACAUUGACGACCUAUGGGACUUCUACGUCAGGGUGGCCGAGAUCACCACACCAAAGGCCCCGGAAGAGAACCCUUGGGACACUUACCACCCCAUGACGGUAUAUGAACUACAGAACUUCACCGACUCCGUCAACGCCUCCUUCAGGAUAAAUUGGCUGGGGUACCUGAAUCAAGUGUUUGAAGGCACUACCAUCACUAUCACCUGGGAGGACCGGGUGAUUGUCGAGUAUCCCAAGUACCUCAUCCAGCUACUGCUACUUCUUCAGGAUACUCCUAAGAGAACUAUUGCCAACUAUCUGCUGUUCCCUGUGGUAGUGGAGAUGGGGGAGGAGACUAACGUACGGUACCUCACACGUCCUCACCACGCCCUCCCACGCCUGCAGUCCACCUGGUCACUUGGGAGAGCUAAGUCGUGGCCAUGGCAUGACUGUACACAGAAGACAAGGAUGCUGCUGCCUCUGGGUGUGGCCAGUGUAUAUGUUAGACACAUAUACAAACAACAGCUGGGAGAUAUGGCGAAGGAGGUGGUGGAGGACGUGACUGGCGCCUUCAGGAAGAUGUUGACCUCGUCGCUGUGGAUGGACAGCGACACCCUAAAGGAGGCGCUGCAGAAGUUAGACAAUAUGUACCAUCUAGUGGCCUUCCCCGAGCUGGUACUGAAUGACCAGCUGUUGGAACAGUACCACCUGGGGCUGCCUCCCGUCAGUAAGGUGGACCACUUCGGCAACAUGGUGGGUCUGGUGACCUGGUACAGUCGACGAUCACUACAGCAGCUGACUGUACUACCAUCUAGGGACAGGUGGCCGAGAGGACCCCUGGAGACAAACGCUUUCUAUGCCCCUUUACAAAACAGUAUAGUGAUCCCCGUGGCGGUGCUGCAAGAACCCAUCUUCCACCCGGAGAAGACCACGACGCACGAGGGGCUGGACAGGGUCACUACAGCGCUGGUGGACCAACUCAACACUACAACAGUACACCAACAAGACCAGCUGCUUCGUCCAACAGUACUCCGGCUAUGACGUGUCCAGCUUACUGCCUCCCCAAGACCGUCCUCCCUACCCCAUGAUGAUUAACGGACUCAAAACGAAGGGAGAGAAUAUUGCGGAUAAUGAUGGUCUGAGGGCGGCAUGGGUGGCGUACAGAUCACGUAUGGAGAAGGACGGAGAGGAGGUGGUGGAGUUGCCC